rfam:Ictidomys tridecemlineatus contig033003, whole genome shotgun sequence.
UGGGGUUGAGCUCAGUGGUAGAGCACUUGCCUAGCAUGUGAGAAGCACUGGGUUCAAUCCUCAGCACCUCAU